CUACGGGGCGCUGCAGUGAGGAAUAUUGCACGAUGGGGGGAACCCUGAUGCAGCAACGCCGCGUGGAGGAUGACGCAUUUCGGUGUGUAAACUCCUUUUAUAUGUCAAGAAAAUGACGGUAGCAUAUGAAUAAGCACCGGCUAACUCCGUGCCAGCAGCCGCGGUAAUACGGAGGGUGCAAGCGUUACUCGGAAUCACUGGGCGUAAAGGACGCGUAGGCGGGUUGGAAAGUCAGGUGUGAAAUCCUACAGCUUAACUGUAGAACUGCACUUGAAACUUCUAAUCUAGAGUAUGGGAGGGGGAGAUGGAAUUAGUGGUGUAGGGGUAAAAUCCGUAGAUAUCACUAGGAAUACCUGAAGCGAAGGCGAUCUCCUGGAACAUUACUGACGCUAAGGCGUGAAAGCGUGGGGAGCAAACAGGAUUAGAUACCCCCGUAGUC
rnacentral:rRNA from 1 species